CUCCAGACUCCUACGGGAGGCAGCAGUGGGGAAUAUUGGACAAUGGGGGGAACCCUGAUCCAGCGACGCCGCGUGAGUGAAGAAGUAUUUCGGUAUGUAAAGCUCUAUCAGCAGGAAAGAAAAUGACGGUACCUGACUAAGAAGCCCCGGCUAACUACGUGCCAGCAGCCGCGGUAAUACGUAGGGGGCAAGCGUUAUCCGGAUUUACUGGGUGUAAAGGGAGCGUAGACGGCAGUGCAAGUCCGGAGUGAAAGCCCGGGGCUCAACCCUGGGACUGCUCUGGAAACUGUAAAGCUGGAGUGCGGGAGGGGCAGGCGGAAUUCCUGGUGUAGCGGUGAAAUGCGUAGAUAUCAGGAGGAACACCGGCGGCGAAGGCGGCCUGCUGGACUGCGACUGACGUUGAGGCCCGAAAGCGUGGGGAGCAAACAGGAUUAGAUACCCUCGUA
rnacentral:rRNA from 1 species